UACGACCGCACCACAUUGAAACAUUAGUUCCUGUACGAUCACCAAAGUUAAGCAAUGUCGUGUCUGGUCAAUACUUAGAUGGGUGACCGCUUGGAAAUACCUAGAUGCUGUAAG